AGUGCUUCAGAGGAAAACAGCAAUGAACUUUUCUCUCCUCUCUGGGGUUCCUGGUCAGCUUCACAUUGGUGGCCCAGAAAUCAGUCUCAGCCCCUCCCAGUAUGGACCGCUCCUUGACAGCAGCCCUCUCUCCUAUAAAGGCAGAUGCAAGCUACGUUUGUGUGGGGAUGACACAACACAAAGGCCCUUGCCAGAUGUGAGCCCCUUGAUAUUGGAUUUCCCAGUCUUCAGAACUGUCUGCUGAGAACAGAUCCAGUCCCUGAGGAAGGAGAAGAUGUUGCUGCCACGAUCAGUGCCACAGAGACCCUCUCGGAAGAGGAGCAGGAAGAGCUAAGAAGAGAACUUGCAAAGGUAGAAGAAGAAAUCCAGACUCUGUCUCAAGUGUUAGCAGCAAAAGAGAAGCAUCUAGCAGAGAUCAAGCGGAAACUUGGAAUCAAUUCUCUACAGGAACUAAAACAGAACAUUGCCAAAGGGUGGCAAGACGUGACAGCAACAUCUGCUUACAAGAAGACAUCUGAAACCUUGUCCCAGGCUGGACAGAAGGCCUCAGCUGCUUUUUCGUCUGUUGGCUCAGUCAUCACCAAA
rnacentral:sRNA from 1 species